ensembl:lncRNA
UCACCCGUCCGCCGGUUGCAGCGCCCCAGCCUGCUCAUCACCGAGGGCAGCCCCCUGCCUCCACCUCGCUCCCGCACCAAGUUCUCGGCUGCACGGGAGCAGACUGAGGCGGUCCAACCUUCUGCCUGGCGGGCAGCUGCUGCCUCACCCGUCCGCCGGUUGCAGCACCCCAGCCUGCUCAUCACUGAGGGCGGCCCCCUGCCUCCACCCCGCUCCCACGCCGCAUCCGCAACAUCCUCCAGCAAGUGGCGCCGUAGAGCUGGGCGCAGGCAGGCCGCCCCACCCGUCCUGGCCCCCGUCAAACCUGGCGGUGAGCGGAAGAGCAAGAGGCCCCGGGACAGGUGGCCCAGAGAGAGGUAGCCGCUUUCUGGGGGAUGGUGAAAGCACUUCUCCCUCCCCUGGAGGAGGGCCGGGGGAGAAUCUGGAAAUCUCGACAAGAGAGCGGUUUUCUCUGUCUCUGGGUCCCAGGAGGGCACGGAGAUUUGCGGAUGGCCAAACACCGGACCUCACUCAUCCUCCUCCUUCACCAGAUGGCAGGAGCGGGCGGUUCGAGAUUGUCAACAAUGGCCCUACUCACGCACCCUCUGCCAACCCGUGGAACCAGGUGAGCCCUGCACCCCACACUCGCACCACACUCAGGCCUGCUCACAAGCCGCCCGAGUUGGGUCCCUGUAUUCCGUCUCGAUGCCCCACUGCGGGUACGGCUGUGGUUCCGCUAGUCCCGCUUGUACAGUUUCUAAGUGCCUGGUCAGCGCUACCCAGCCCGUCUCGCUGGCUCCUGCGGACCAUCAGCCUCGGCUAUGCGAUUCAGUUCACCCGGCGUCCCCCCCAAGUUCAGCAGUAUCCGCUUCACUACAGUGAAAGCGUCCGAUGCCCCUGUUCUGCGGGAAGAGAUCGCAGUCCUACUGGCAAAGGAUGCGAUAGAGCCGGUUUCUCCAGCCGAUAUGAGGAUGGGGUUUUACAGCCCUUACUUCAUUGUGACCAAGAAAGGCAGUGGGUUACGACAGAUCUUGGAUCUGCGAGUUUUGAACUGAGCCCUUCGUCGGCUCCGUUCAAGAUGUUGACGCAGAAACGCAUCUUCGGGUGCGUCCGUCCCCGAGAUUGGUUUGCAGCGAUCGACCUGAAGGACGCAUACUUUCAUGUGUCGAUCCUUCCGUGCCACAGACCUUUUCUGUGGAAGCGCGGCACUCACCGGGUCCAAGUUACACCGGCCUGUCGCCAAACCCUCACCCCGUGGUCAGAUCUUGCGUUUCUCAGGGCAGGGGUGCCCCUACAGCAGAUCUCCAGGCAUGCUGUGGUUUACACGGAUGCCUCCACCACCGGCUGGGGGGCCACGUACAACGGGCAUGCAGUCUUAGGGGUUUGGACGGGCCCGCAGCUGCAGUGGCACAUCAAUUGCCUAGAGUUGUUAGCAGUGCUCCUGGCCUUGAACCGCCUCAAAGGUCACUUACGAGGCAAGCAUGUGCUGGUCCAAAUGGACAACACGGCGACCGUUGCGUACAUCAACCGACAAGGUGGUCUGCGCUCCCGUCGCAUGCCACAACUCGCCCGCCACCUCCUCCUUUGGAGUCGGAAGGUUCUGAGGUCGCUUCGUGCCGUUCACAUUCCGGGCCUGCUCAACCAUACAGCCGACGAGCUGUCUCGAGCAAUGCUCCCGGGAGAAUGGCGAUUCCAUCCCCUGACGGUCCAGCUGAUUUGGAGACGGUUCGGAGCCAUUCAGGUAGACCUGUUUGCUUCUCCAGAGACCGCUCACUGCCAGUUGUUCUACUCCCUGACCGAGGGAACUCUCAGCACGGAUGCACUGGCACACAGCUGGCCGCGGGGCCUACGCAAAUAUGCGUUUCCCCCAGUGAGCCUUCUCGCACAAACACUGUGCAAAAUCCGGGAGGACGAGGAGCGAGUCUUGCUAGUGGUAUUGGCCCACUCGGACCUGUUUCCCCAAACUAGUGCUCCUCGCAACAGCCCCUCCUUGACUG